UACGUAGGGAGCAAGCGUUGUCCGGAAUCAUUGGGCGUAAAGCGCGCGUAGGUGGCCUCAUAAGUCCGCUGUGAAAGUCCAAGGCUCAACCUUGGAAAGCCGGUGGAUACUGUGAGGCUAGAGUACGGAAGAGGCGAGUGGAAUUCCUGGUGUAGCGGUGGAAUGCGCAGAUAUCAGGAGGAUCACCAAUAGCGAAGGCAGCUCGCUGGGACGUUACUGACACUGAGGCGCGAAAGCGUGGGGAGCGAACAGG
rnacentral:rRNA from 1 species